UGCGUAGGCGGGCUAAUAAGUCAGUGGUGAAAUCUUUCGGCUCAACCGAGAAACUGCCAUUGAUACUGUUAGUCUUGAGUUCGGUUGAGGUAGGCGGAAUGUGUAAUGUAGCGGUGAAAUGCUUAGAUAUUACACAGAACACCAAUUGCGUAGGCAGCUUACUAGACCGACACUGACGCUGAGGCACGAAAGCGUAGGGAGCGAACAGGAUUAGAUACCCUGGUAGUCC
rnacentral:rRNA from 1 species